GGGUUGUGAGGUUAAGCGACUAAGCGUACACGGUGGAUGCCCUGGCAGUCAGAGGCGAUGAAGGGCGUGCUAAUCUGCGAUAAGCGCCGGUAAGGUGAUAUGAACCGUUAUAACCGGCGAUACCCGAAUGGGGAAACCCAGUGUGACUCGUCACACUAUCAUUAACUGAAUCCAUAGGUUAAUGAGGCGAACCGGGGGAACUGAAACAUCUAAGUACCCCGAGGAAAAGAAAUCAACCGAGAUUCCCUCAGUAGCGGCGAGCGAACGGGGAGGAGCCCAGAGCCUGAAUCAGCAUGUGUGUUAGUGGAAGCGUCUGGAAAGGCGCGCGAUACAGGGUGACAGCCCCGUACACAAAAGCGCAUAUGCUGUGAGCUCGAUGAGUAGGGCGGGACACGUGGUAUCCUGUCUGAAUAUGGGGGGACCAUCCUCCAAGGCUAAAUACUCCUGACUGACCGAUAGUGAACCAGUACCGUGAGGGAAAGGCGAAAAGAACCCCGGCGAGGGGAGUGAAAAAGAACCUGAAACCGUGUACGUACAAGCAGUGGGAGCACCCUUUGGGGUGUGACUGCGUACCUUUUGUAUAAUGGGUCAGCGACUUAUAUUCUGUAGCAAGGUUAACCGAAUAGGGGAGCCGGAGGGAAACCGAGUCUUAAUUGGGCGUUAAGUUGCAGGGUAUAGACCCGAAACCCGGUGAUCUAGCCAUGGGCAGGUUGAAGGUUGGGUAACACUAACUGGAGGACCGAACCGACUAAUGUUGAAAAAUUAGCGGAUGACCUGUGGCUGGGGGUGAAAGGCCAAUCAAACCGGGAGAUAGCUGGUUCUCCCCGAAAGCUAUUUAGGUAGCGCCUCGUGAAUUCAUCUCCGGGGGUAGAGCACUGUUUCGGCUAGGGGGCCAUCCCGGCUUACCAACCCGAUGCAAACUGCGAAUACCGGAGAAUGUUAUCACGGGAGACACACGGCGGGUGCUAACGUCCGUCGUGAAGAGGGAAACAACCCAGACCGCCAGCUAAGGUCCCAAAGUCAUGGUUAAGUGGGAAACGAUGUGGGAAGGCCCAGACAGCCAGGAUGUUGGCUUAGAAGCAGCCAUCAUUUAAAGAAAGCGUAAUAGCUCACUGGUCGAGUCGGCCUGCGCGGAAGAUGUAACGGGGCUAAACCAUGCACCGAAGCUGCGGCAGCGACGCUGAUGCGUUGUUGGGUAGGGGAGCGUUCUGUAAGCCUGUGAAGGUGUGCUGUGAGGCAUGCUGGAGGUAUCAGAAGUGCGAAUGCUGACAUAAGUAACGAUAAAGCGGGUGAAAAGCCCGCUCGCCGGAAGACCAAGGGUUCCUGUCCAACGUUAAUCGGGGCAGGGUGAGUCGACCCCUAAGGCGAGGCCGAAAGGCGUAGUCGAUGGGAAACGGGUUAAUAUUCCCGUACUUGGUGUUACUGCGAAGGGGGGACGGAGAAGGCUAUGUUGGCCGGGCGACGGUUGUCCCGGUUUAAGCGUGUAGGUGUGUGUUCCAGGUAAAUCCGGUUCACUUUAACACUGAGGCGUGACGACGAGGCACUACGGUGCUGAAGCAACAAAUGCCCUGCUUCCAGGAAAAGCCUCUAAGCAUCAGGUAACACGAAAUCGUACCCCAAACCGACACAGGUGGUCAGGUAGAGAAUACCAAGGCGCUUGAGAGAACUCGGGUGAAGGAACUAGGCAAAAUGGUGCCGUAACUUCGGGAGAAGGCACGCUGACAUGUAGGUGAAGUGAUUUACUCACGGAGCUGAAGUCAGUCGAAGAUACCAGCUGGCUGCAACUGUUUAUUAAAAACACAGCACUGUGCAAACACGAAAGUGGACGUAUACGGUGUGACGCCUGCCCGGUGCCGGAAGGUUAAUUGAUGGGGUCAGCGCAAGCGAAGCUCCUGAUCGAAGCCCCGGUAAACGGCGGCCGUAACUAUAACGGUCCUAAGGUAGCGAAAUUCCUUGUCGGGUAAGUUCCGACCUGCACGAAUGGCGUAAUGAUGGCCAGGCUGUCUCCACCCGAGACUCAGUGAAAUUGAACUCGCUGUGAAGAUGCAGUGUACCCGCGGCAAGACGGAAAGACCCCGUGAACCUUUACUAUAGCUUGACACUGAACAUUGAGCCUUGAUGUGUAGGAUAGGUGGGAGGCUUUGAAGUGUGGACGCCAGUCUGCAUGGAGCCGACCUUGAAAUACCACCCUUUAAUGUUUGAUGUUCUAACGUGGACCCGUAAUCCGGGUUGCGGACAGUGUCUGGUGGGUAGUUUGACUGGGGCGGUCUCCUCCUAAAGAGUAACGGAGGAGCACGAAGGUUGGCUAAUCCUGGUCGGACAUCAGGAGGUUAGUGCAAUGGCAUAAGCCAGCUUGACUGCGAGCGUGACGGCGCGAGCAGGUGCGAAAGCAGGUCAUAGUGAUCCGGUGGUUCUGAAUGGAAGGGCCAUCGCUCAACGGAUAAAAGGUACUCCGGGGAUAACAGGCUGAUACCGCCCAAGAGUUCAUAUCGACGGCGGUGUUUGGCACCUCGAUGUCGGCUCAUCACAUCCUGGGGCUGAAGUAGGUCCCAAGGGUAUGGCUGUUCGCCAUUUAAAGUGGUACGCGAGCUGGGUUUAGAACGUCGUGAGACAGUUCGGUCCCUAUCUGCCGUGGGCGCUGGAGAACUGAGGGGGGCUGCUCCUAGUACGAGAGGACCGGAGUGGACGCAUCACUGGUGUUCGGGUUGUCAUGCCAAUGGCACUGCCCGGUAGCUAAAUGCGGAAGAGAUAAGUGCUGAAAGCAUCUAAGCACGAAACUUGCCCCGAGAUGAGUUCUCCCUGAGACUUAAAGUCUCCUGAAGGAACGUUGAAGACGACGACGUUGAUAGGCCGGGUGUGUAAGCGCAGCGAUGCGUUGAGCUAACCGGUACUAAUGAACCGUGAGGCUUAACCUUACAACGCCGAAG
rnacentral:rRNA from 1 species